AGAGUUUGAUCCUGGCUCAGAUUGAACGCUGGCGGCAGGCCUAACACAUGCAAGUCGAGCGGCAGCGGGAAAGUAGCUUGCUACUUUUGCCGGCGAGCGGCGGACGGGUGAGUAAUGCCUGGGAAAUUGCCCAGUCGAGGGGGAUAACAGUUGGAAACGACUGCUAAUACCGCAUACGCCCUACGGGGGAAAGCAGGGGACCUUCGGGCCUUGCGCGAUUGGAUAUGCCCAGGUGGGAUUAGCUAGUUGGUGAGGUAAUGGCUCACCAAGGCGACGAUCCCUAGCUGGUCUGAGAGGAUGAUCAGCCACACUGGAACUGAGACACGGUCCAGACUCCUACGGGAGGCAGCAGUGGGGAAUAUUGCACAAUGGGGGAAACCCUGAUGCAGCCAUGCCGCGUGUGUGAAGAAGGCCUUCGGGUUGUAAAGCACUUUCAGCGAGGAGGAAAGGUUGAUGCCUAAUACGUAUCAACUGUGACGUUACUCGCAGAAGAAGCACCGGCUAACUCCGUGCCAGCAGCCGUGGUAAU
rnacentral:rRNA from 1 species